ACCAAAGGAGGAAGUUAGGAGUUUUAUUAGAAAUAAGGGGAAUAGGUCUUGGGUUUCCAGGAGGGGGUCCUGAGUGGGUCAGACUGCAAUCAACAUAUAGGAUUACAAGUAUAGACGCUUAGCUAAUAGAGAUUCAAUAGGGAAACAAGUCAUAUAGCAAGGAACAUGCAAAGAACAAAGGCAUUUUGGGGAAGGGAGGAGAGUAUGCGUCCUAAUGCUCUGGUCACAUGCCAUGUGUCUGAUGCCUAUCUGGCCCCACUGGGCCAGGUGGUGCUGAUUACAGUAUAAGCUCAAGCUGUUUAUGUGUAGGAAGGCAUGCAGACAUGGCUGUUCAGAGUCAACACCAGCCACAAUCUUUGUAUCUCAUCUUCGGUGCUGACUUCCCAAGGGCCCAAUCUCACUGUGACUGCGUAUUAAUUUUUAUCUAACUUAGCUGCCUAUAAUACCUGAACAUUUUUCCUGACAACAUUAUACCACCAGCAUAUACAACAUAUACAACCAGCAUAUGGAUCAUUGUUUCAUUGUGAGAAAAAAAAAGUUAAAUCAAUUUGUCAUUUCUUCCCCACCUCAAUACACAGAUUAAAUGUCACAUUCCAACAUAUUGGCUAUGAAUUUUAUCAGUCGCCUAAUUCAAGAUACCUCAAUUAAGACAUUCAUCCUGUUGCUUGGGAGACACUCCACCCCAUUCUUCUCAUGCAAGUACACACACAAAAACAAAGAAAAACAAAGAAAUAUACCACAUCUUACCUUUCUCUUCUCUUCUUUAAUCAUGAGCAUUUUCCAGCCCCUUAUAAAGCUUUUCUCAGAUUAAGGGUGCACUGCCAAAGUACCUGAAGUUAUUAACUCAGCAGACAUUUCUGAAGCUCUUACUGUGCCAAAUAUUGGACAUGCAAAACCAAAUGUCACAUAUUGCCUUUAAAAAGCUAAGAUAUGUGGGGACAAAAGUAAAUCAACUAUUAAAAUGGACUAGAAGUGUAUCCUGUUGUGUUAGUGGUACAUAGAAGAGCUUGAAGCUUUCUGCAGUAAUCUAUUGUUAAGUAGCUGUUAUAGCUUGUGUCUAGAUGUCCCCCCAAAGAUUUAUGCAGUCAUAGGUGGGGCUUUUCAGAGGUGGCUGGAUGUAGAUUGUGUGACAUUGGGAUUGACUCAUGGGUGGGGUAGCCUGGACACAAUAUAAAGGACAGAAAGACUCUUGCCACUUGCUACUGGUGACUUGCUGUGCUGUCUUCUGACUGCCAUGAACUGUUUCUCCUCUGUGAUGGCCCUCUUCCAUGUCACCCUGCCUUGGAGGCAGACAACUAUGAGCUGAAAUCUCUACAAACUGUGAGCUGAAAUAAAUCUUUCCUCCUUUAAUUUUGGGUGUCAGGUUAGGGCUCAGUAUUGUUCAUCACUGUAUUCCAGCAUCAAAAGCAGUCUUGGCGUAUCGUUCAUACUCAAAAAAUGUUAGUUGAGUGGUGCCUAAGUUAGAUGGUUGGGAAAAGGGCUCAUCUGGAGGUGAGAGAGAGGGAAGGGAAAUAAGAAAGUAUCAAAGCACACCCCUGAUGGUACCUCCAUUUCAGGUCAUCUCUGGGGUUGCCAUGUCUUAGGCCAGUGAUAGCGGACCUAUGGCACCCAUGCCGCAGCGAGAUGUUUAUUAACCCUGAAAGCUCUAGACAGCUCGCCAUCACUGUCUUAGGUUAUCUGUGAUAGCAUAUCUGAUUUCAGUAGGUAAAAAACUGCUAACAAGAAUGAAUGGCCUUUUGAAUUCUAAUUAGUGCUGUGUCAUGAGAUUGUGAAAUGUUAAACUCUAAUUUACUCUGUUGGGAUAGAUACAGAAGAUAUUCUAGCCCUCGCCUAUUUGGAUUGUUUUGACUUCCAGAAAACAGACCAUGAAAAAAACAAAGUCUUUCCUUCGCCUUCAUACAAUGACCAUCAUGAAGUGUCUUCUCAGAGCUGGUUUUAAUUUCCAGACUGAAGAUUCCUCCAUGUAUGAAAAGAAUGUCAUUGCAUAUGUUUCUUUUCCUCUCACCAAAGUACUUUGAUAUGUCUAAAUAUCAAUCUGUACCUUCCUCUUACCUUCAAAUGUUGCUGGUAAUUCUUGGCAUCCCUUGGUUUGUUGCUACUUCACUCUAGUGAGGCACGUACUAGUCUCCCUUUGGAGCUGUUUUCUUUACUUAGAAGCACACCAGUCAUGUUGGGUUGGGUGAACCCUACUCUAGUCAUUUAGGAUGAAAGUAUACAACCUCAUGUUAAUAUGAUUACAUCUGAAAACACCGUAUUUCCAAAUAAGGCCACAUUCAGAGGCACUAGUGGUUAGGAUCUCAAGAUAUCUUUUUGGAGGAGUUUUAUAGAAAAACUCCCUACAGUGUUUCAUACAGUGGGUAGUGUGAACUUGUACUAUCUAACUUAGCUGCUGUUUUUUGUUGCUUGCUACAUAGAAGUUUCGUAAUGGUUAGACAGAUGAUAUUAGUAAUACCCAGUUCUUAUCAUUUGAGAACUCCCAUGUGAAAACUCAGGGACUGCUGUGUAUUAAGAACCACAUUCUCGAUUUAUCUGUUUUUAUAAAUGUAAAUGGGAAACCAGUUUUUCCUUUUUCAACUCGGGUGACCUACUUAGUCAUCUAAAGCUCGUCCUCAGGGACCCUCGGCCCCGGUUUCAUCUGCCAUGCCCUACGUAGUAUGUCAAGCGAGUCUGGCUCCUAAAGCCACUCACUAAUAUUUCCAUUCUCUCUCCUCUUCCUGCUGCUGCUGUUCUAUAAUUACUUUCUUUCUUUCUUUCUUUCUUUCUUUCUUCUUUCUGUAUAUGAGAAUGAUAAUAAUAGUGUUUAUUUCUUAUGAUUAUUUUUUAAAAUGAAAUAAUCUUCAUGAAUGAUUUAGCACAUAGCACAUGGCAUGCUCAGAAGACUUAACAGAGAUUAAGCAAGGGGUGAUUUAACAAAAGAAUGUUACUGAAGGGCCAGGGAUUUAGCUCAGUGGUUCCGCUGCCUGCCUCGCAAGUGGAAGGACCUGAGUUCGAUCUCCGGUACCGAAAAAACAAAAAAGAAUGUUACCGAAGAAUGUACAAUACUAAGGGACCCAACAAGAAAUAGAAAGCAACCAGGGACGAGUAGCUGCAGGAAGCCUGUUGAGACUUCCAGGAUUGAAGGGAAGAACAUUUCUGGAAGCCAGCCAGAGCUAGAGCUAUAGAAUAGAAACUCCUCAAGAAAAGCGAUGGCUGUAGAAAAAUGCAGCCCCUGCCAGAAAUUAUGGAUAAAGUAUCUACAGGGAGAAAGUGACAAAGUGUCAGUGGGCAUUGGGAGGAUAAGGUGGUACCUGUACACCUCCACUCUCUCUCUUCUCAUUCAUACCUUCCUGCUGGUACCUCUCAUCCUCUGACCCAGCUGGGAAGCCAGAGGCUUAGGAGGCCCAGUUAGUUGCAUCCCUAGGGACCAGUCUCCCAAGACACAGAGCAGAGGAGGGCAGGGCAUGGAUUGAGAAGGCAAAUGGACAUUUCCAUACAAUCAGUCUGGAGUGUAAAGAUAUUGAGACAACAAAAAUGGGUGGGUAGAAGUGACACAAAGCACUUCCAGUCCAUGCACAAGAUCUCUAGUGCAGUCACUCACGUGCUCCCCACUGCUGUCACCCUUGAGGCCAUGCAUUCACAGAGGUGGUGCUUGCAGUGGAAGGAAUCUGGGUCUUGGAAUGGCUGUGCAGUGUGCCACACUGCACUGGAUAUGAAGCCGUGAAGAUUCUAGUCUUGUUUCACUUGGAGUGAAGGUGAGGAGUGGGAGAGAUGAUUAACACUGAUGACUCUCCACUGGGCCUCUCCCAUGUUUCGUCUCUCUCCUGAACUUCUGAGCAUUCGCUCUUUCUAGAAGAUAUUUACAAAUGGGUAUUUCAUUUUAUUAUUUUUGGAUUUUUGAUACAGGGUCUCGCUGUGUAGUUCAGGCUGGCAUUGAACUCACUAUGUAGCCCUGCUGGCCCUUGGUGCUGGGAUUAUAGUGCUGGAGAUUGGACCCAGAGCCUCACACAUGCCAGGCAAGUACUCUACUCCUGAACUGCACCCCCAGCCCCUCCUUAGGAAUAUUUUAAAGUGGUUUUUUUUUUUCUGGAUACUGAAUCAAGUCUCAAUUCUUGGCUUCCGAAGAUCUUCAGAACAGCUCUCCUAAUCCAGCUAUUUAAUGUCACACUCCCAUGCACCGAGACUCUCGUAAUUAGGAGGCCCUGUCUGUUAUUGCUGUACUCCUCCAUCACACCGGCCCCUUCCCUUCUAUUCCAGCUGCUCAUCCUGGUUCAGGCCCUAUGGCUUCACACUUAAACUACAGCAAAAAGUUCUUAGCUUGUUCUCCCAACUAUGUGCUUUUCCUUUCCACUCAUCCUGCUCCUGGUAACAGAUCUCCCUCACAGAAACAUCUUCUGUUCAAAAGCUUCUCCAUCUUCUGUAUUUUCAUGCUCAGCAAAUAGCACCUCUAUAAACCAAUUGCCAAUACCAGAAACUUAGUACUUCCUUUGCUCUUCCUUGUCCCUCCCUCACCUCUCUCAUGCAACUAAUCACCAAAUUCUUUCUGAUCUUUGAACCCAUUCUCCACGUAGCUGCCUAGGUAAUCUCUUUCUAUAAUGGAAUUAUAAUCCUGGCACUCUGCUGCUUAAAACUUUUUGAGUUCUAACUCCAUGGCCUUGAGAAUGAACCUCAAAAUGCACACUGUAAAGGACCUGCACAAUGUGGCCUCCUGUUGCUCUCUCCUGUCUCAUCUUCUCAUCCCAUCUAUCCCACUGAACAAAUUUCCCUUCACCUGAGGAAGCACGUGCUCACUUACCUAUAGUCCUUCUCACAUGUUAUCUUUGAAAUUGGAGUUGGGAAGUCCUCCUGCCUCUCUUUCCUCCCACCUCUCACCUACCACACAUUUUUGAACUCAGCUGCUUUCAGGCAUUACUGUGUCUUUCUUCACCCUUGGAUUGGCAGCACCUAGCACAAUGCCUGGCACCUAUUAGGCUCCCUAAUCAAAGAAGUUAAGUAGAUUGUUCACAAGCUUAUAGCUGGCUAAGAAACAAAGAGUGGGAUUUGAUAUACUUCUCUGAUUUUAAAUUGUGUGGACAUUCCAUUUCCCUACAUUGCUUUCUAAUUCACAUGAAACCUCUCUGACAUAAUCUAACAUCCCUGUUCAUUCAUUCCACAGAUAUUUAUUGAUUUCCUAACCUGUGCCAUGUAUUGUAAUAUAUAGAGGGAGUAAACUAGCCAAGGGUCAGUGGUAUAUAGGUGUAAUACCAGCUCUCUGGGAGGCUGAGGUAGGAAGAUUACAAGUUUGAGCCCAGCCCAGACAACUUAGUGACUUAGGAAGGGCCUGUCUCAAAAGAAAAAAAUUAAAAAGGGCUAGGGAUGUAGCUCAGUGUAGAAGCCCUGGUUCCAGUUUCCAGUACUGCAAAAGAAAGGGGGAGAGGAGAUAGACUAGUGAACAAGUUGUUCCCUGCUUUCAGUAUCAUCUGAUUAAAAUAUAGAUGAAUCAAGGCAUUUGUAGCACACUGUGAUAAAUGCUUUCUUGAGAGUAAGCACAAGGUAAAAGAAAACCAGGAUGGGUCACAGGAGGUCAGGAAGACCAUUGGAGAAGAAUGAGACUUCUCUCCAAGCUCAGUGUGUGAAGCAUAAACAAAGACAAGCAAAGAAGCUGGAGAAGAGUCCAAGGCACAAGUAAGCAACAUGUGCAAAGGCUCUGAAGCAUCAGAGGCUGUGUCAAUAAAAGUUGAGAGCUGAUGAUUGCUGAAGUGUAAAAUACGGUGGCAACACUGCAGAGAGACAAUGUGGAUACAGGCAGGGCCUUAUGAUGUUAAGAAAUGCAGACUACGUCCCAAAGGCUAUUCAAAGGCAGAGUUAAAUCUGAAGGAAGAGAAUGGGUUGACUAAAUUUAAAUCCUCUGUUGACUCUGUUUACAUCCUUUGUUGAUUAAAUUGGAAAAUCCUCUAGCUACAAAGUAUAGGUUAGGGUUAAGAGGAAUAGCAGAAAAGGUAGAAGGGAGUCAAGAAUGCUUAUCUCCAAGAAAGAACAAAGAGGAAAGCGAGUUUAGGGGGAAGGAGAAAUCCUCCUUUUGGUUGAUUAAUUAGUAUGUAGGUCAGGAACUGAGGAGUGAUGUUGGGUUCUGAGAUUUGGGGACAUGACCAUGUAUAGAGUUAUCACAGUCAUGGGAGCAUAUGAGACUCUAAGAAGAGUCUAAGGAGAAGUAGAAUUUAAGGCAGAACUGGUAACACCUAGGGGAAGAGCCAAGGACAAGAAGCUCAGGAUGCUGGGCAUGGUGGCACACACCUGUAAUCUCAGGACUUGGGAGGCUGAGGCAGAAGGAUUGAAGCAAGUUUGAGGCCAGCCUGGAGUACAUAGUGAAUUCAAGGCCAGCCUGAACUAUGUAGCAAGGUGUCGUCUCAAAAGAAGAAGAGGAAGAGGAAGAAGGAGUAGGAGACCCAGAAUCACGAUCUCAGGGAAACUGAGGGAAGAGCAUUCCUAGAAGGAUGAAGGGGUCACCAGUGUUGAGUUCGGGUGGAAGGUCAAAUCAGGUAAAGACCUGUAAAGGUCCACCGGAUUUUAGGUCCUUCAUUGUCCUCAGUGGGAGCAGUUUCAGUGGAGUAGUAGGAGUAGAAGCCGGAGUGGAGAGAGUGUGGGAGUAAAGAGGCCAGUGUAGACCACCCUUUCAAACAGUUUAAGUGUGAAGGGGGAAAGAGAAAGUGUGCUUGAAGGAGUUCACCACUGCCAUCCUAGGCUGACCAGAGAGCAUUUUAAGUCUCUUCCAUCACUCUCUGCUUUUACCCCUGCUAAAGAUGUAUAAUCAUGUGACCAUGCCCCCCCCCAUCCCAUCAUUCCUAGCCCCGCUCCUGACAGGCAGCCACCACUCCUUGUGCUUUCUCAAGCCCUGUCUCUGGCAGGCAGCACAACUCCUUUCCACUCCACUCCCCCCCUCGAAAGUCCCACGUUGCCCUUUUCCUUUCACAGCCCCCUCUAUGUUCAUGACCUUGUAAAAGACCUCACAGCCUGGGGGCCAGGGGUUUAGCUCAGUGGUUCCGGCUCCUGCCUCGCCAGUGCAAGGUCCCAAAUUUGAUCCCCAGUACCAAAAAAAAAAAGAAGGAUUUUACAGCCUAUACGAGGAGGAGUUACUGGUCUGGGUCUAAGUACCAGGGUGGUCCCUUUUAGGUUUGUUCUGAAAUAAACCUGUCCUGUUGAGCUCAUAUCUUUGUUUUUUCCUCUAACAGUCCUAUCUGGCAGGAGGAUUUCUAAAUGAUGGCAGAGAUUGAAGAACAUUUGUGCCGAUGGUACAGCUUGAGGGUGUUUGAAGAUCUAGGAGAGAGGUUGCUGAGGAAGUGGAAGGAGGUACCAUUAACAGCAGUAGAGGCUCUGGCCUUACACAGGAAGGGGACGUCUUCCUUUUUAACAAAAAGCAAAAGGAAGCAAAGUGGAUGCCGGUCAGGUUUUGGAGAACGUUCAUAAGUUGGAUUCGUUCUAAGUCUGACAAAGUGACUCUUAUACACCUCUGACGCACAUAUAUAACUAUGUUGCUUGGUACUUCCUAGCAGUGCCUUCCACAUCACUGCUGCUUUCCUCUUGCUUCCAGAUUCCCCGGACUCUGACUGAGCUCCGUGCUACGGUACACCAUCGCACUGUGCAGUGAGCACACAGCCAUACAACUGUGAUAGUCUGGCAGACACGUGAGCUACUUCUGCAAUUUGUUCAUAAUUCAAGGUCCUUUCCAAUCCAUGAAAGUUCACAACUCAAACGUUUGAAAGUCAGGGACUUACUGUAGUUUAGUUAUUAUGAGUAUACAGUCAGAGCAGCCAGAUAAAAGAAAAUAGCCCACUGUGAAAGACUCACACAUAUUAUAGUCAAGCUUAGAAACACAAAAGAAAACACAAGAAGAAAGGAUAAGAAUAGGGAGAUAAGAACUCUUUCCUUCCCAGAAGAUUCUUAAGCAGAGAACACUAAGCUAGUUAACAGCUCUAACAGCUCCUUCCUGCCUCCUGGAAUUUCAACCCAGUUUUGAGAAAUAGUAGAAAUGGAAAAUAACCAGUUUCUUUUGAACUCAUUUCCUUUGAAACAAGCCUGUUCCUGGGCUCUACUUAUUCAUACAAGAGUAGGGCAAGGACCACAGUUUGAAUUUCUGCCUGGAAUCCCCUCGAGAUAGACAUCUAUCAUGAGCUACUUCUUAUUAUUAUUUCCAAUCAAACUCUUGACUUUCUGUGAUAGUUAACUGUGAUGUCAACUUGAGUAAGAAACACACAGUUAAUCAGCGUAGUGUAGCUCUGGGUGCUUCUAAAUAAUGAACUUACUGAAGAGGAAAGACAGCCUGGCUGUGGGAGGCACCAGCCAAUAGGCUUGUAGCUUGGAUGGAAUAAAAAAGGAAAGAAGAAGGAAGUCUCGCUUCUGGUUUUUUUGUUGUUGUAGUUUGUUUGGUUUUUUUUUGGUACCGGGGAUUGAACUUGGGUCCUUGCACUUGUGCAGCAGGGAGCGAAACCAGUGAGCUAAAUACCAGGCCCCCACACUUCUGUUUUCUUUGGAGGAGCUCCAGUCUUUGCCAUUGCUUUUGGAUGUCCAUCUCCAGGCUUCCAGUGCAGACUCUUCAGCCUUGCAGUGCAAACUCUUUGCUGGUUUCCAGAUUCAGACUCACAUGGGACUCUGCAGUGAGCUCCAGGCCUUUGAUUUUUGAUUGGAUCCUUUGAAUCUCUAGUGCACCUUGGCACUGUUCCACAUCUGACUCUGCAGGUGGCCAUUGGAAGCCUACCUUGUAAAUCUAUACAUACAAUGCCUUGGUUCAUGAUCACUUCUGUUUGCAAACAAUUCAGUUUGAAAAGACAAGAAUUCAGCAAAAUUUUGCUUCCAUUUGCAAUCUCUGUAUUGGGUGACAAACACGACCACAGCCAUCUUCCCCACACAAACACAAAUGCAGCCGUCUUCCCUCAAAUCGUAAAACAAAUGAAGUUCAUAAACCAACAUACCACUGGAUAUACAACAUAUCUAUCUAUAUAUCUUAUAUUAAAUCAGUUUCUCUAGUGAGCAUUGGCUGAUACACAUCCUUCUGUGGUUCUCCAUUACAUUCUUUGAUUUCAUGAACUACGUUAAAUGACUAAUCACAUUCUGUGCUCUAAUAGUCUUUAUUCCAAUCUCCUUCCAAAGGCAAUCCUAUACAACAUCAUAUAUAUUUGUAGAUCAUUCAAAAGUCUAUUUCUAACCCUGAGAUUUUUGUCCAAAGUCUACUAUAUUUUCAGUUUUGUUUUGUUUUGUUUGGUACCAGGGACUGAACUCAAGACCUUGCACUUGUGCAGCAGGUGUGGCACCACUGAGCUAAAUCCUUGGCAUAUGUUUUCAGUUUUUGAUGCAUCUCUCAAAUUUACUGUGUCGAAGUUAUUCAUUUUCCAUUUCCUGAUGUUUCCUACCCAAAGCUGAGGCUACUCCCAUUUCUAAAUAUUUUCUAUUCUAGCCUUUCUGUACCUAGUUCUCCCAAAUACUUUAGAAUUUAUUUUAUUUACCACUUUUGGGUGUUACUAUGGUUUUUGUUAGUUUUUCAUCAUAUUUUUGGUCUUCCUAAUUAGAUUUCAGACUUCAUGAGGCUGGGAAUUUAUACAUAAAUGUUCACCUCUUUACUGCAUCUCUUCUUUCUCUAAUCUUUUUCUCUUGCCUAAGCUCCCUCUAUUCACUUUCAAAAAUAUUAGCUACCGGCAGAGGGCAGUAGGGAGACCAGAGAAAAUACAGAUCGGGAGGACACAGGUUUAACAAAGUUGAUACUGUAAUAGGAGUUACAAAGAUUACUCUUUAGCUUCAUAGAAAUGGUUGUGACUUGCUUAAUUCCAGCUGCUAAAUUUUAAAAGAGAAUAGUAGUAUGUAUAAGAACGAUAUGACCAGCCAGGGUAGGAUGACAGGUUGGAACAUCUGAAAUGUAAGUAUGAAAAAAACUCAUGUUAAUGAUAUUUAAACUUUUAGAAGAUUGGCUGUGAAAGAAAACUGAGUUUAUUCUGUUUCAGCUUUCUGUUGUUUACCAAGGACUUACAAGUGAAAAUUAUGUGGAGCUAGCAUUUGCCACAGUAAGAGAAAAUUCUAAAUGUAAUGAUGUUGCGGGGAGUGGUUUGGGCCACACUGUGAAGUCCUGACCUGCCAGGCUGGAAAGUUCCCAGCCUUAGGCUGAGGGACUACCUCUUCAGUAUGUAGUUGAGGACAAUCUAGCUUCAGGCUUGAGGUUGGACUAUACGAUUUGUCAUGAUUGAUGCUUCCAAAUCUAAGAUCUAUGAGCCCAUAAUUUGAUCCACACUUCCAAUUCAGGCCAAAGACUCUCCCAUCAAAUCCUCUCCCUUAGAUCUUUGUGACUCUAGUGGGUGAAGGAAAAUCACAUAUUAUAGUAACUCAUCCAGAGUGAGCCUUUUGUGCCAGUGUGGUGGCGCAUGUCUAUAAUUCUAGUAUUCUGCCAGGCUCAUGAAGGAGGAUUGCAAAUUUGAGCCCAGCUUGGGCAAAUUAACAAUGUAGAGAGACCCAGUCUCAAAAUAAAAAAUAAAAAAGGAUUGGGGAUGGUAAAGGCCCUGGAUUCAAUUUUUAGUACCAAAAACCAAAAGCAAAACAAAGUUGGUUGUAUCAGGCGCUGAGAGGUAAGUCAGAAAUCAGUGGUAGGGAUUAGCAGAGGUCUGGAAGAGAUGUAUUUUUGAUGCCACAAACAGCAAAGAGACCCUGAAGAAAGAGAUGGCUACUGAAAAGAGAGGAGGAAAUGUUGACAGGAUUGAUGGUUGGAGAGUAAGAAUGGGAGAGAUAAAAGCCACUUGGGGAGUGAGAAGUGUUGUGUUGGGUUAUUUCUGGGCUCAAGGAAUAGGAAAACACUCAGGUUAUCUCAGGUAAAGUGCAGAAAUUUAGGCAGCCAUCCAGAGAAAUAGAAGAUAUCUAUCCUCCCCUGGAAGGCAGCUGAAGAUGUAGCUGCAGCCGUGACAUCAUAGCCUCUUCCAAAGGAAACAUCGCGGGCUGCCCCCUCCUUGGCCCGUCGUCUGCACAUGCUGGGAGUAGUCUCUCUGCUCUUGCUCUGCAGCCCUGUCAUGGCCUGGGUCUAAGUGUCCCCCCAAAGUCUCAUGCAGGUGUGGUGGGGCUUUUUCAGAGAUGGCUGAAUUUAGAGUAUGUGAUUGCUUUAUGGUGCAAUGCUAGGUUCAAGGGCACUAGGAUUAAGGGUGUGAGCGCUUACCUGUUUUAAGUAGUCUGGAUAAGAUAAAAGGGGCACAAAAAAGCUGUUAAGGUCCCUUGUUGCUUUUGCUGUCUUUGACUGCAAGGAACUAUUUUCUCCUCUUCGAAGCCUCUCUGCCAUGUGCCAUUCUGCCUUGGAUCCAGCCAACUGUGGAUUGAAACCUCUCCAAACUGUAAGCUAAAUAAACCUUUCCACCUUUAA